GGAGAGAUGGCUCAGUGGUUAAGAGCACUGGCUGCUCUUCCAGAGGACCUGGGUUCAUUUCCCAGCACCCCCA
rfam:Neotoma lepida isolate 417 scaffold_297, whole genome shotgun sequence.